rnacentral:lncRNA from 1 species
CCUCUUAAUUAGCAGGGACGCGUGCGUGUUAUAUACAUGUACCAGAUUACAUCCAGAGAUUACAAGGCUUGAGAUACAAUGAAAGAAUCAAAUCGAAUUCCAAACCCUUAUCUGUACGGGUUGGUUUACAUCGUAGCAACAAGCUCUAUAUAACAACAACAACAAAUGAAUUUUCUGUCAAUGAACAAAUGACAAACAUAAAUGAAAUAAAUCCAAGCAAUUUGCUGACCACAUCUACUAUGUCUAAGCAAGCUCAUUCCAAAGCAAAACGACAGUACAAUAAAAUUGUUUACUGGCAAACUGUCACACUCAUUGUUCUUACCUACAUUGUUGCAUGUUGUCUUAGCCAUUGAGUAGUUCAGCUCAAGUGAUCAUGGAUCUUUGCAUAUCACCAUUGGCGGCUUUGGUGCCCCUACUCCGCCAUUUGUUCCGCAAUCACCAUGACCAUGGUCUCAUGGGGGUUGCGAGCACCACCACUUGCAGCAGUAGAUGCUACUUAGUCUCAUGGGCUGCGACUGCACGUGACGGUGCAACGGCAAACGGGGCAGGAGUUGCGGUGGCGUAUCCAUCGCGCGAUGCAACGCGAGUGGAACACGUGGCCGCACGCGUGCGCAGCCCUCACGUCGCCACCAUCAAUGCGUAAGGGCUCGAGGCACACUGGACAUUCGUCGAUAGGGCCGGAGUUGGAGGUAGCGUUUGGGGUGGGGUUGAAGGUGGGGUUAGUGUCUGGGGUGGGGUUGUAGGUGGGAACGGAGGUGAGACUAGUGUUUGGGGUGGGGUUGGAGGUGGAGAUGAAGGUGGGGUUGGGGUUGAAGCGGGCAAUGCACAAACACACAGGACACGAGCCCCGUCGACGUACCCACCGUCCAAUGCAACGCGAGUGAAACACAUGUCCGCAUGCGUGUGCCGCCCUGAUGUCACCACUGCCAGCGUGCAAGGGCUCAAGGCACACCGGACAGUAGCCGAUGGUGUCAGAGGUAGGGGUGGAGGUGGUGACGGAGGUAGAGGUGGGGAUGGGGGAGGGGGUGAUGACGGAUGUAGAGGUGAGGGUGGGGGUGGAGGUGAAGGUUGAGUUGACAAUGUUGCACCGGCACACGGGGCAGGAGCCCUGUUGGUUGAGCCACGGCUCAAUGCAACACGAGUGAAACACAUGGCCACAAGCGUGUGAUGCCCUGACACCAUCACAAUCAACGCGCAUGGCCUCGAGGCAGAUCGGGCAGUCGCCGAUGAAGGUGGAGGUGGAGGCGGAGGUGGGGUCGUCAGUGCACCGGCACACGGGGCAGGAGCCCCGGUUGUGGAGCCAUGGCUCAAUGCAAGACGCGUGGAACACGUGGGCGCAAGCAUGCGGCGCCAUGACGUUGGUACGCCCAUGUAACGGCUCGGAGCACACCGGGCAGUUACCGAGGCCAGGGUUGGCGGUGGGUCCAUGUACACGUCGGGCCGGCGCUCUUCGAAGAGGCGGUGGCGCGUCAUCGUAGGUGGCCGUUGUCGCUACUGGAGGCGGCGAUGACAGGUCAACGUCGGGGGGCGUGGCCGCUGUUGGAGGAGGCGGUGGCUCGCCAUCACGGUCGGCCGUUGUCCCUGAUGCUGGAGGAGGCUGUGUCGCUGCUUCAGGAGGAGGUGGUGGUGACACCGGCAGGUUGGCGGCGCUCGGGGCUGACCAGCCGGAGACGAGGGCGAUGCUGUCGCGCAUGCGAUCGAGGAACGUCUGGCGGGCGCUCACGACGGCGCGGCGACGAGCGAGGAAGGAGUAGACGCAGAAGAGGACGAUGCAGAGCGCAAAGGAGACGAACACGGCGACACAUACCGGCCCCGAGAAGAGGUUGAUGCCCGGCCGUCGCCCUGCCCCGGCGCCAGAGGACGUGCCGCCUACACCAUCAAUCGCUGGCGUCGGCCUGCCGACGUCCAUGUGGACGCUCGACCUGCCGAUGCGCCGGGGCGGCGCCGCCGCGGCCGCGGCCAUGUAUGGAUCUCUUUGGGGCAAGCUGAAAUGCAAAUGGAAGAGUAGCUGGCAAGCUUGUAUAUAUAGCUAGGCGGCCGGACAUGGAAGAGCCAAGCUAAGCUAAAUGCACUUGCACUGACGAACUCU